rnacentral:rRNA from 1 species
UACGGGGGGGGCAAGCGUUGUUCGGAAUUACUGGGCGUAAAGGGCUCGUAGGCGGCCAACUAAGUCGGAUGUGAAAUCCCCAGGCUUAACCUGGGAACUGCAUCCGAUACUGGAUGGCUUGAAUCCGGGAGAGGGAUGCGGAAUUCCAGGUGUAGCGGUGAAAUGCGUAGAUAUCUGGAGGAACACCGGUGGCGAAGGCGGCAUCCUGGACCGGCAUUGACGCUGAGGAGCGCAAGCCAGGGGAGCAAACGGG